GGACGCCCGCAGCAGGAGCGACCAGGGCGACGUCACAACGAGCGGAGCGGCGCAUGGACGGAGGCGUCUCCAUCGCGGGGUUCCAUGCUCCAUGUUGUCGUCCCACCAGGAUCAUCAGCCUUCUUGCGGUCUGCUCCUCAGUUGCGUUCACCUGCAAGGGACAUCUCUUUUUUCUUCAGUGUGCAGGGCCGAUUGCCAUUGGUGUUCCUCCUGUUAUCAGGAGGUUGUGGCUGCAUCUGGAUUGU